rnacentral:snRNA from 1 species
GGAUGUGAGGGUGAUCUGGCUGUGACAUCUGUCACCCCAUUGAUCACCAGGGUUGAUUCGGCUGAUCUGGCUGGCUAGGCGGGUGUCCCCUUCCUCUCUCACCGCUCCAUGUGUGUCCCUCCUGAAGGGCCGAAGAGGACGGCCUUCCCCGAAUAGAGCCAUACCAAAGGUAUAUGAGUAGCUGCGCUCCCCUGCUAGAACCUCCAAACAGGAUCUCAAGGUCCUUUAUGCUGUCUCCCCAGCACCCCCCCAAUGGUUCAUU